GAUGAACGCUGGCGGCGUGCCUAAUACAUGCAAGUCGAGCGAACAGAUAAGGAGCUUGCUCCUUUGACGUUAGCGGCGGACGGGUGAGUAACACGUGGGUAACCUACCUAUAAGACUGGGAUAACUUCGGGAAACCGGAGCUAAUACCGGAUAACAUUUGUAACCGCAUGGUUCUAAAGUGAAAGAUGGUUUUGCUAUCACUUAUAGAUGGACCCGCUCCGUAUUAGCUAGUUGGUAAGGUAACGGCUUACCAAGGCAACGAUACGUAGCCGACCUGAGAGGGUGAUCGGCCACACUGGAACUGAGACACGGUCCAGACUCCUACGGGAGGCAGCAGUAGGGAAUCUUCCGCAAUGGGCGAAAGCCUGACGGAGCAACGCCGCGUGAGUGAUGAAGGGUUUCGGCUCGUAAAACUCUGUUAUUAGGGAAGAACAAACGUGUAAGUAACUGUGCACGUCUUGACGGUACCUAAUCAGAAAGCCACGGCUAACUACGUG
rnacentral:rRNA from 1 species